CAUAUGGACAACCAGGAUGCUUUAUUGAUACCAGUUAUUAUGUCAGGAGAAGAGGAAACCUGAAUGCCUUCGGCAGCCCAUGAUCUCAGUGGGAAAGAAGCAAGAUUAAGCCCACUAUGACUGGUGCACUGGCUUUUCAUCUUGAAGGAUCCUUAAUUAUCCAGUCCAGCAUCCUGAUGGAAGUAAAGUAUUUGUGUCCCCAUUAUUCAGGACCUUCUCCCUCUUCAUUGGUCAGCUCUUAUUCUACAGGGAAGCGUUGGUGGCAAAAAUUGGUGGCAAGAAAUGGUGGAGAGAGAUACCCUGCCCUUCUCUACAUGGAUGCCCAAGGAAACAAUCCUUCUGUCUUCCCAGCUGCAGUCAAAAACAUGGAUCCUUUCUGAGCAAGAAGAUGUCUGAAUGUCCACCUAUAAAUCACUCUACUUCUGCUACAGUGUUCACUGAUAACUGCCUAUGUUUAUGUCUAAUCAAAGGGUGAUUUUCAUCAGCUUACAACCUAGUCAUGAUUGUAUUGUUUUUAUAUACAACAUAACAUUUUGACUCAAUUUGGGGAAAAG
rnacentral:lncRNA from 1 species